CUUCGUCGAUCUGCUGCGGGCUGAUGAAGUGAAUAUGCGUGUCGAUGCCGCCCGCCGUCACGAUCAUCCCUUCGCCCGCGAUCACUUCCGUCGCCGCGCCGAUCGCGAUCGUCACGCCCGGUUGAAUGUCGGGAUUGCCCGCUUUGCCGAUGGCAGCGAUGCGGCCGUUCUUGAUGCCGAUGUCGGCUUUGACGAUGCCCCAGUGAUCGAGAAUCAGCGCAUUCGUCACGACGGUAUCGACCACGUCGGCCGCGACGCGCUGAGACUGGCCCAUGCCGUCGCGAAU
rfam:Burkholderia phymatum STM815 chromosome 1, complete sequence.